UGCCAGCAGCCGCGGUAAUUCCAGCUCCAAUAGCGUAUAUUAAAGUUGUUGUGGUUAAAAAGCUCGUAGUUGAACCUUGGGCCUGGCUGGCCGGUCCGCCUCACCGCGUGCACUGGUCCGGCCGGGCCUUUCCCUCCGCGGAACCCCAUGCCCUUCACUGGGCGUGGCGGGGAAACGGGACCUUUACUUUGAAAAAAUUAGAGUGCUCCAGGCAGGCCUAUGCUCGAAUACAUUAGCAUGGAAUAAUGGAAUAGGACGUGCGGUUCUAUUUUGUUGGUUUCUAGGACCGCCGUAAUGAUUGAUAGGGACAGUCGGGGGCAUCAGUAUUGCGCCGUCAGAGGUGAAAUUCUUGGACCGGCGCAAGACUAACUACUGCGAAAGCAUUUGCCAAGGAUGUUUUCAUUAAUCAGGAACGAAAGUUAGGGGAUCGAAGACGAUCAGAUACCGUCGUAGUCUUAACCAUAAACUAUGCCGACUAGGGAUCGGACGAUGUUAUUUUUUGACUCGUUCGGCACCUUACGAGAAAUCAAAGUGCUUGGGCUCCAGGGGGAGUAUGGUCGCAAGGCUGAAACUUAAAGGAAUUGACGGAAGA
rnacentral:rRNA from 1 species